GUGGGGAAUAUUGGACAAUGGGCGAAAGCCUGAUCCAGCCAUGCCGCGUGUGUGAAGAAGGUCUUCGGAUUGUAAAGCACUUUAAGUUGGGAGGAAGGGCAGUAAGUUAAUACCUUGCUGUUUUGACGUUACCGACAGAAUAAGCACCGGCUAACUUCGUGCCAGCAGCCGUGGUAAUACGAAGGGUGCAAGCGUUAAUCGGAAUUACUGGGCGUAAAGCGCGCGUAGGUGGUUUUGUAAGUUGGAGGUGAAAUCCCCGGGCUCAACCUGGGAACUGCCUCCAAAACUGCAUGACUAGAGUACGGUAGAGGGUAGUGGAAUUUCCUGUGUAGCGGUGAAAUGCGUAGAUAUAGGAAGGAACACCAGUGGCGAAGGCGACUACCUGGACUGAUACUGACACUGAGGUGCGAAAGCGUGGGGAGCAAACAGGAUUAGAUACCCUUGUAGUCC
rnacentral:rRNA from 1 species